rnacentral:rRNA from 1 species
UUCGCAAUGCCCGAAAGGGUGACGAAGCGACGCCGCGUGAGCGAAGAAGGCCCUAGGGUUGUAAAGCUCUGUCAGGGGUUAUGAAACGUAGAUCAGUUAAUACCUGGUUUAUUUGACAAAGGCCCCAAAGGAAGCCACGGCUAACUCUGUGCCAGCAGCCGCGGUAAUACAGAGGUGGCAAGCGUUGUUCGGUAUUAUUGGGCGUAAAGAGCACGUAGGUGGUUUUGUAAGUCAGAUGUGAAAGCCUUCUGUUUAAAGGAAGAACGGCAUCUGAAACUGCGAAUCUUGAGUGUAGGAGGGGAGAGUGGAACUUCUGGUGGAGCGGUGAAAUGCGUAGAUAUCAGAAGGAACGUCGGCGGCGAAAGCGACUCUCUGGCCUAUUACUGACACUGAGUGUGCGAAAGUUAGGGGAGCAAACGGGAUUAGAUACCCCGGUAGUCCUAGCCGUAAACGAUGGGCACUAAGUAGAGGGGUUUUAA